rnacentral:ncRNA from 1 species
UAUAUUUGCACCUGAAUUUAUCGUACAUAAUAAUUAUUAAAAUAAUAUUGGCAUG